AUAAAGAAAAUGUUCUGACUCAAUGGAUGAUGGACCCUCAUCAGGCCAAAAUCUGCCCACUCACUGUCAGCGAUGGAUUCAUUCCAGUGUCUCAACAAUAUUGAAGAGAGCCUGUUUCUUCUGUUGUCGUCUGAUGCUUCACAGAGGCUUUGUCCGAGAACAGACUUAGCAGACUUGUUCACAAACACAUGUUUGAAGAGGCUGAAAAGUUUGUCAUCACAUUUGAGGUGGAUUUAGAGGUAAGUGUCUGACUGUCCGCCUGUAUAUCUGUCUAUCUUGGCCUGAUUGUACACUGUAAUCAAUUUUUUAUUGAUGUGUUAUUCUGGGAAGAAAGAUAUUUUCCGAUUCACAUUUAUUUCAACUUUAUUUCGAAUCGCACUGUAUUAAAAAAUGGUUUUACAAUCAUCAUUAGUGAGACAGCUUCCAGAGUGAUCUUUUUACUUUUCUGUAGGGUUAAAUUGAACAAUGCUUUUGGAUUCAAAAAGAAC